AAGAAAUUUUACCCAAAAAAAAUGCUGAUACUACCAUUUUGGCAAAAGGAGGAAAAGAAUGGAAUAAGAGAAGAAGAGGAGAGAAGAGAAGAAAGAGGAGAAAAGGAGAAAAAGAACCAAAAAAAAGAACCCUUAUUUGCUAGUGCACCAGCUUUAGAGGGAGAGAAAAGAAGAAGAGAGAGAGAGAGAAGAAGAAGGAGAAGAAAAGAGGAGGACAGACAUACCUUUUGUUAGGACUUAGGAGAACAAGAGAGAGGAAGAUGAGAAUUUGGGAUUCAACUCAUUAGAACAAAAAAAAAACAUCACUUACCUAGGGUUUGAAGAGGUUGCGCCCAUGGUUUUAAACAACGGCCGUUACAUUACGUAACGGCCGUUAUUUACAGAUUUUCGAGCCUGCCCUGGCCGUUAAGGCCCGUAAAUAAUGCCAGGAAAAUUUUGUUGCUGUAACGGCCAUUACGCAAAGAUAAUGGCCGUUAUCGGCCGUGAUGUAAUAGUAACGGCCGCUACUUUCCUUACCAGUAGUCCAGCACUAGCAUUUGUAUGCAUUAUUGAAGGAGAAAAAAAACUGAUUUCUCUACUUCUUCUCUUUAACAUUUUGUCUUUCUUUACUCUUUACAACUUUAUGUCUUCGCACCAUAUUUAUUUCCGGCCUCCAUUUCAACUUUUCAAGCCAAAAACUGCCAUAUUUCUCUUAAAUUUUUUGAUAGCAGCUUAUAUACUUAAAUUUCUACUCCAAAACCUACCCUAAACGUUAAUUUUGGUAGUAUUAAUUGAGGUAAGUUACUGUAUAUAAUGUUUAAAAUUUAUGUAUUUUAUGUUUAUUUAAUAUAUUUGUAUUUAUUAUUAAGUUGUAUAACUUAAUUUUCAUUAUAUCUUUCAAUAUAUUUUAAUUUUAUGAACUUUACAAAUUUUUCCAAAAAAUUUGCGCCGCAACAAGACGUUACCGUUACGUUAUGACCAUUACAGGCCUGUUUUCGUUACAUGUGACCGCGAUUUAAAACCAUGGUGGCGCCUCUCUGCCCUGAGGUGAGUGCCGGAUUGAACGGCAUGUUGCUUGGCACCCUUGGGCGCCUUUAACAAUAGUGAUGGUGUAGUGAUAAAGAUACUUAGCAUUCAAAGUUCUCAAUUCUUCCUAAACGAUAAGCUUUUUAACUUUAAUUUUUUUAUUUCUUUUUAUUCUUAUUUUUCACCAUUUUUUAAAUAAAGAGGAGAAACAAGCAAUUAAAUGUUUAAUUAAUCAUUACUUCAUUGGUCUGGCAAAAAAAAUCAUUACUUCAUUGAGAUGAAUGAUAAAUUUGAGGUUUUUGUUAAGAUUAGGGUUUUGUUCUAAAUAUCAAAAUUAAAGAUUUUAGAUAUUAAGAUGAGAGCUACUUAUUUUCUUCAUUCUAACCUAAUAUUUUUUUUAAAGCCUUGAGAAGAGCUAAUCACGGAGUAGAAGAAAAUAUCCAUAAAUCAACCUCAUUGAGAACCACUAAGUAAGCAAUUGCUGGUAUUUCUGAUGUCAAACAAAGUCAAAACUCAAAGUUAGCUUUCCUGUAUAAGCAUCAAGAUUGUAUCUAAAUUCUAAAGUUGAAGAGGGUCAAUCACACUAAAUCCUUUUAUGAAAUCUUAACUCACCACAAAAUUCCCAGAAACAAAUAUCUCACGUGUUCAUUUCUUGAUUAUUAGGACAAUAUUCCCUCCACUAGGGAAUCUACUUUCCUUCCAAAUUUGGUGGGUGUCCCACACUCAUUUUUAUUUAAAUUGCAAAAAACUGAAGAAUUUCUACACCUAAAUGUAAUUGCACCAAGAUUUUAUUGCCAUAAUAAGAGAACAUCCCUAGCUUAGGCAAGUAUUUCCAUGAGAGGGAAAAAAACAAAAUUUUCUCAGAUAAAAUCAUUAUAAUAUUACAUGAAAACGAGUAAGCUCCAUUUCAUCCAUCACAGUGGAAAAUACACAUGCACACACUCUAACACAGUUAUCAUUAAAAAACUUAUUUGAUCAACAGUUUCAGCAAAAAAAAUACCUGAGGGAUCAUGCAUGGAAGAAGUCAUGAGGCAAUUAUGCACACGAAGUCGCCAAUACAAGAUCUGGCACAAAAAAUUAAAAUAGCCAGGUCAAAAUGACGCCAAAGCAUUUAGCAAGAAACUAGUUAACAGAUACACUAGCACACCAAAGCUACAAAAUAUUUCAACGAUUCAUGAGUAUUAAAAAGCUUUAUGUCCAUGUGACAAUUCCUUUGUCUCAAAAUUAAGAAUGGUAGAACAAAAAGCUGAAUCCAGGAUCAUAAAAGAAAACAAUGGAAAGAAUCCUAUGCGCAUUGAGAAAGAUUUAAGUCUAUGUGACAAUCCUACAGCCUCAAAAUUAACAAUAAAAGAAGAAAUAAGCAGAAUUGAGGACUAUAAAACAAAAGAAUGGAAAGAAUUCAAUGUAACAAAAUUAGUAAUAAUACAAGAUGAAGCUGAAUCCAGAACCAUUAGAAAGAAGAGAGAGAAGAAGAAGGACUUCCCUUUUCAUUGCUUGGCAAUAUCUAUAUACAUACAUACACAUAUAUAUGUAUGUAUGCAUGUAUAUUCGAAUGAAUAAGUCAGAAUCAAAUUACAGUACAUUGUAUGUAUGUAUAUCCGAAUGAACAAGCUAGGAUCAAAUUACAAUACAUCUAUAACUAGAUACUGCCUAUGCUUCAACUUUCAAAUCUUCCAUGUGUGAUCCUUUUGUCAAGCUUAAGCAAGUACAUAACAUCACACCUGCUUGUUAAGAUAACAAAAUUUGGCCAACAUGUAAUAUGUAUAAAGUGGCCUUCUAAAAUUUCAUUUGCAUUCUGCAGACCAAGAUUCAACUAAGAAACUACAUGAAUUGAUAUAGUAGAUAUAAUUUCUUUUCCCCAACUUUAAAGUAUGUGCCAGAAGAGAAGUUGAUGAAAGCUUUCCCCCAAAAUUCCAGCAGAAGAAAACAAAAAUGACAAUAAAUAAUCUAAUGAUGGCCCAAGCAGGAUUGUGAUACAGUACCUGUCAACUAAAACAUAAUCACAUUUACUUCAUUCUUCAAGUAAGUCUAAAGAAACCUACAUGUGCACAUACUACAACCACCACCUGGGGCAGUGGAGGAGGGGGAGACAAGGGAAGCCCUGAACCCCAAACAUUUGUCCAAAAAUCUUAAGUGGGUAUACAGGAACAGAGGGAGAAUGGACAAUGAUGAAUCNNNNNNNNNNNNNNNNNNNNNNNNNNNNAAGGUGAAAAUUUUUAAUUAUAUGUUACUGUUACUGUUACUAGAACAGUAACCGAUUCCAUUUUAGUAUAUAAUAAGAAUUUGUAUGCUUAAUUUGAACAAGUUUGAUUGGCUAGAUUUUCUUCUUGUUUUGUUCUUCUUUUCUUUCUACCUCCCUUGUUCCAUCCAAGGGUGGGCAUGCAUCAAGUACAGUGGGU
rnacentral:lncRNA from 1 species